UACAGGGGGUGCAAACGUUGCUCGGAAUCAUUGGGCGUAAAGCGCACGUAGGCGGUUUGUUAUGUCGGAUGUGAAAGCCCUUGGCUCAACUGAGGAAGUGCAUCCGAAACUGGCAAGCUAGAGUACUAAAGAGGGUCGCGGAAUUCCCGGUGUAGAGGUGAAAUUCGUAGAUAUCGGGAGGAACACCGGUGGCGAAGGCGGCGACCUGGGUAGAUACUGACGCUGAGGUGCGAAAGCAUGGGGAGCGAACAGG
rnacentral:rRNA from 1 species